rnacentral:rRNA from 1 species
GAUCCUGGCUCAGGAUGAACGCUAGCGACAGGCCUAACACAUGCAAGUCGAGGGGCAGCGCGGGGUAGCAAUACUCUGGCGGCGACCGGCGCACGGGUGCGUAACAGGUGUGCAAUCUGUCCAUAGUCGGGGGAUAGCCCAGCGAAAGCUGAAUUAACACUCCAUGUGAAUCGAAGCCGCAUGACUUUGAUUUGAAACGCAAGGACUAUGGGUGAGCACGCUUCUGAUUAGCUAGUUGGUGGGGUAACGGCUCACCAAGGCGACGAUCAGUAGGGGUUCUGAGAGGAAGGUCCCCCACAUUGGAACUGAGACACGGUCCAAACUCCUACGGGAGGCGGCAGUGAGGAAUAUUGGUCAAUGGGCGAGAGCCUGAACCAGCCAAGUCGCCGUGAAGGAUGAAGGUUCUAUGGAUUGUAAACUUCUUUUGUCCGAGGGUAAAAAGGCCACGUGUGGCUUCUUGCAAGUAUCGGACGAAUAAGCAUCGGCUAACUCCGUGCCAGCCGCGGC